GACGAACGCUGGCGGCGUGCUUAACACAUGCAAGUCGAACGAUGAAGCUGGAGCUUGCUCCGGCGGAUUAGUGGCGAACGGGUGAGUAACACGUGAGUAACCUGCCCUUGACUCUGGGAUAACUGCUAGAAAUGGUAGCUAAUACCGGAUACGACCCUCGGUGGCAUCACCAGGGGGUGGAAAGAAUUUCGGUCAAGGAUGGACUCGCGGCCUAUCAGCUAGUUGGUGAGGUAACGGCUCACCAAGGCGACGACGGGUAGCCGGCCUGAGAGGGUGACCGGCCACACUGGGACUGAGACACGGCCCAGACUCCUACGGGAGGCAGCAGUGGGGAAUAUUGCACAAUGGGCGCAAGCCUGAUGCAGCAACGCCGCGUGAGGGAUGACGGCCUUCGGGUUGUAAACCUCUUUUAGUAGGGAAGAAGCGAAAGUGACGGUACCUGCAGAAAAAGCACCGGCUAACUACGUGCCAGCCGCCGCGGUAA
rnacentral:rRNA from 1 species